ensembl:lncRNA
GUAAAAAUGAGGCACAUCAGCCUCUGAGAGGGCCUGCUUCGCUCUUCCCCUCCAUAGGGAAAUGCGUAGGACAUGUUCACCUACAACCAUCUUUCUUGCCUGUGAAGGUUUUCCUUUUGGAAGCCCUUUCCAGGAGUAUGAGACAGAAGAGCACUACCUGCCUUUGGACUUCAGCAUCUUUACAGCCAGUGAACAAUCAGAGUUGUCAUCUGAUGAAUAACGUGCCUAACAGAUCACACUCACCUGGUGGCUUACUCACUGAGGGACAGUGAAAGUCAGGAAUCAACAAAGGGAUGAGCGACCACAUUCGUGUU